rnacentral:lncRNA from 1 species
CUAGCCUACUCCUAAUACAGUUUAGACUAGACUUCUAAUACAGUUAGACUUCUAACAGUGUCAAAAAUUCAGAAUGUCCAAAAUGAAGAGUGUCAUAUUAAUAUAUGAACAGAUAAAGUAUAAAGCAAAACAUUGGGGAAAUAAGCAUCAGCAGGAACAAAGAAACUAAACUACUUUUGAUUCCCCCCGGGCUUCAGCCUAGUGGUAAGAGCGCAUCUCAGAAAGUGUGGGCAAGGCACAAGCCACACAUUUGAACCUUGCCGCAGACAAAAACCUGGUAUUUAAGUGAAGAAGUGUAGAAUAGCGUGCCAAUUAUCCACCAAAUUUUGAACCGUGCACCACUGGCCCUUGGGGAUUUCUUAGUUACAAAAAAAGAUGGCAAAAUACAUAGAUAGGCACUCAAACUUGGUCCCAAGUGUCAAUUUGAUACUUAAACUUAUCCAAUGAUCAAGUAGACACUUCAACUUGACACGUGUAUGUCUCGUGGACACCCGGGUCUAACAGACUUCGCGCGUGAACUGCAAUCACGGGUGACAUGUGACGUCACAUGUCAAAUGGACAAAUUAGUAAAUGGCAUAAACAUAAUAAACUUGUAAGUAAUUUUUUAUUUAAAAUAGAAAAAUCCUCCCGUCCACCUCCUUCCUCGGCCAUUUUCACCCACAAACCACCAUUAUUGACCACUUAAUUAAUAGGUUCUCCCCUCUCCAUCUCAAGUACCACCCUCUUUUCUGUCCAACAAUUCCUUCAAUAUCUCUUUUGUGAUUGGGUUGCAAACUACAUAGAGAAAGGAAUUGAUUUAUUAGUUCAAUUUCUUAGAAUCAAUGUCUCUAUUUCUUGUGUUCUUUAAAGUCUUUAAAAAUGGGAGAAAUCCAAGAGGCUAAGAUCGUUUCUCAUCAGAUGUGAUUUCUGGCCAAAAAAGUAUAUCAAACAGCAUAGAUUUGAGAAGAAAGGUUUUGAGAAAAGAUAAAAUGAAUGAAACAAAAGGUAAAAAGAAACAAAAGGUCAGGGAUUGCCGGCUAGCAUAGGGUUGUUGGACUUUCACCAAACGAAUUGCAAGAGUAUCAUUAAUAGACAAUGAAGGCAAGGAAGGGAUGUGGGUGUCGAGAGAAAAGAAUAAAAUACGGAGAAGGAUGGGAGAGGGGCAUUACAAAUGAAAUAGAGGUAGAUUAUAAGGGUAAAAUGGAAUUUUGCUAUACUUUUUCAGCUGGAAUUGGGUUGCGAUAACAUCUACGCUCUCAAAUGCGAAGACAACAUACACAGUGCCUGGUUAGAUCCGAGUAUCCAGGAGACACACCUGUGUCAAGUUGAAGUGUUUACUUGAUCCUUGGAUAAAUUUAAGUGUCAAACUGACAGUUGCGGCCAAGUUUGAGUGUCUGUCAAUAUAUUUUGCCUAAAAAAUUAACUACUUCUAAUUAGAAAAAGGAGAAACACGCGUUGUUCUAAACAAAGUCAUCACUCAUCAUAUGUAUCAAUGUUAAAUUGCUAAAAAACAAAGAGUAGAGAGUCUUCAUACCAUGGCCGAAAUUACUUUUCCACUUAUUUAAUAAAAUUUUUGUUCCUACCCCUUCAAUUAACAGUUCGUAUGGAUGCCUUCGAUCUUGUCAUCCUGAAUGGGCUACUCAACUACUAACUAGAGCUGUCUAUACAUCACAAGGAAUGGAAAAGCUAUAUUGAAUAAUAUAUUCAUAUGUAUGUACCUGAGCCUUUACCAGUCUAGCAUAAUCAGUACCAUUAACCUAAAUUAACAAUUAUAGCAGUUCUAUUAAACCCCAUACACGUGGCAAGAUGCACUUUUGUUUUCAUAUUCUUUUGAUUUUUGCUCAAUUAUUCGGCACUUGCUUCUAGCUUAACUUGAUUACCUCAAUUGCAGAGACCUCGAAUUAAAACCACAAACAAACCUAACAAAAUUCAGGAUUUUCUAGACAACCUAAUUCACUUCCUUGUUGAAUUAGGAAUUUUUCCUUCUUUUCCUCUUUCACAUACCUGUCAAAUAACUACCUACUUCAAUCAGGAGAAGUUAAUAAAUCAGGGACUUCCUCCCACAUCUUCUUCCGAUUAUCUUAUGGCAUUUAAAUCCCCUCUUAAAAUCUAUGGCCUUCCAUACCAACAUCAGCCUAGAGAUAUCUUCCUUAAAUAUUUUUUGACCCCUUCUACUGGCUCAUAAAUUUCCACAAAAUCCCAUUUAAUUAGUAUUCCCAUGAUUUUAAAAAUUCUGGGGCAAUGGAGAACUUCCCCUCUUUCUCAUAUGUCGGAGUUUUAACUUCCUCUCACAUAACACCACAAUAUUUCCAACUUUCCUCUAGUCGGAACCAUAUCAUUUCUCACCCGACUUCCUUCCCCAAGCUUCCUUCCCCAACCUCAAAAAAUUAUCUUGUGUUUUCCCUGUGAUUCAUAGUUGAUAGAGUACUUCAAACUCUCUAAAUUCCUCACCUUUUUAACACCCCCCCCCCCCNNNNNNNNNNNNNNNNNNNNNNNNNNNNNNNNNNNNNNNNNNNNNNNNNNNNNNNNNNNNNNNNNNNNNNNNNNNNNNNNNNNNNNNNNNNNNNNNNNNNNNNNNNNNNNNNNNNNNNNNNNNNNNNNNNNNNNNNNNNNNNNNNNNNNNNNNNNNNNNNNNNNNNNNNNNNNNNNNNNNNNNNNNNNNNNNNNNNNNNNNNNNNNNNNNNNNNNNNNNNNNNNNNNNNNNNNNNNNNNNNNNNNNNNNNNNNNNNNNNNNNNNNNNNNNNNNNNNNNNNNNNNNNNNNNNNNNNNNNNNNNNNNNNNNNNNNNNNNNNNNNNNNNNNNNNNNNNNNNNNNNNNNNNNNNNNNNNNNNNNNNNNNNNNNNNNNNNNNNNNNNNNNNNNNCCCCCCCCCCCCCCCCCUUCCCCCAAACUCCUAUCUCCUCCUUUCCUGUGUUUUCCCUGUGAUUCAUAGUUGAUAGAGUACUUCAAACUCUUUAAAUUCUCCACCAUUUUUAAAACCCCCUCCUCGUAACAGAUAAUUGCCAUUCUUAUUCUAUCUCGGCUGAAGAGUGUAUACUUCAAUUGACAAAAAUCUUCACUUAGUAUCCUUAAACUAUUAAGGACUCAUUGGAACGACAUUUGGUAAACGUUCAUUGAACUUCUUUUUGGAAAUAUAAAGGAAACAUGUGACUAGUUACAAACUUUUUGAGAAUUUGUCAGUGCUUUAUGGGUGGAAGAAUUUUUCAUUGAGAAAUGGUCCUAUAACGUUUUCAAAAUCAGUUUCUUGGAAAAAGUUUUGCAAAACCUUUUUGAUAAAACUUCAACAAAGAUACCUUUUUAUGACCGAGAAAUGGGUCUGGAGACGACCCUUUAAACGACAAAGUCAUUUGGCAACAAACGUUGCAACUUUUGAGAAAAAAAAAAUUCCUCAAACAAAAGCCACCUAAUUUCUUUGCGAGAUAACCACUAUAUAACUCGAAGUGAAGAGCUCACACCCCAGUAACAUAACAGUAAAUUUGAAACAGAAAGAUGCAUCAGCUUAUUCAAACAUCAAUAACAAACAAUCAUUUAAGUACCUGUAAGAUCAUCAACCAUAUUUCCUGGAUAUAUUUCUUUAAGAGGUGGUAAAAUUGCAGGCACACAUGUCUGCAAAAAUAAGUAGGCUAGCUAAGACCAGGGGGAAAAAGUUCUGUUAUUUACAAAAGAGAUGAGAAAUUUAAUAGAACUGCAACAGUCUUAAAAAAGGAACAUGACUAAGUAACAACAUUGUAAACAAUCAGGUCCAGCUUAUCUUUUUUAUUUGAAUAUUCACUUACUUAUGAGCCAAUCAUUUGAUGGGGGUGACUUUGCUGAACAAUCUUCCCUGAAAAUCACUCAUCUCUGACAGGUAUUUUCUCAGUCCCUACUUACCGAUUGGAAGUCCACUUCUUUUCUGUUCUCUUCUUCCCAGUACUUUCACUUAUUUUUAAACUCUUCCUAAUGCUUCCUCAAUUUCUUUAAUUAUAAAAAUAUAAGAGCUAAUAAUGAUAAAACUACAUAAAAAGCUUGUCUUUUUUACUUUUUACCCCCCUUUUCCUUCUCCAAUUCUCUAGGUAAUAAAAGGAUCUAGAGAUUAUGUAUUUGCUUUAGAUGAAAUGCAAGUCUGUACUGCAAAAUCAAGAAUUAUAUUACCCUAUCAGCAAUAGGCUUCAUACUCUUCAAUACUUUGGGAUGUGAGACUAGAAACUGCCUUCGUAAAACUAAUGCAACAGAAAAUUACCUGAAAGUGGAACACAACUAACAAGCUGAGAGAAUAUGAGUUCAAAGUUCCAGCCUUCGAAUCAUUGAUAUUAUGUGCCUUAGCCCAUUCUUUCACCUGCACACAAAGGAGAAAUCAUCGAAUCGAGUCAGAUUAUUCCAAGAUAGCCUCAUUGUCUCCUAUACGGGCACAUACCAGUAAAACCAUAUCACGAAAUCGUCCAUCAAUCAUGUUGAUCCAAUAUAAUAUUUUGGACUUCAUUUGGCCACUCAAAUUAUUGAUUGAUAUAUCACAAGAAAUAUUGUAAUUGCCCUGAAACUUCAAGAUUGGGACUCUUGCAUUGGUAAUAAAUUGCAGCUUUCGGCAUCCACCUGUGAAGUAGCGCUAGCAAUGAAUUAGACCAACACACUCUUGAAAGCAAGAAACAAACGAGAGUGAAGAUUUCUCCGGCUUUUCUCCAACAAUGCUAACAGCAGCAUUAUAAAAUUAAAUUACAAUUAAGACAAGGACAAAAACAACUGAGUUUGGCUCGGAAAGUUAUCAACACACUAGGAUAUUACACAUAUCAUGUUCAGACUUCAGGAUUUCUAGUCUGAGCAAACUUCCUUUCUACAAUCCUCUAUUUUUUUGUUGUUGCUACUGCUGUCUUCUUGAGCCGAGGGUCUAUCAGAAACAGCCUCUCUACCUCCCCAGUGUAGGGGUAAAUCUGCGUACACACUACCCUCCCUAGAACCCACUUGUGGAACUCCACUAGAUUUUUUGUUGUUGUUGUUGCUGCUGCUGAUGCUGAGUGCAUCUCUUAUAUAAUCCCUUUUUCAUAUAAGAAGGUAACUUUAGUAACAAAAUGCUACGUCUUUUCCAGAAUCCUAUUACUACGGCUGUCAAUGUUGAAUUGAUGGAAUGUUCAAAGGCAUUCCAUAACAUAAUGAUAUCUCACGUUAAAUUGUCACAUCGGUGAGGUACUUCAGACAUGAUCCAGAACUAAAUUCUCAGAACAUCAGUUACCAUGAGAUAACAAGGAAAACAAAGCAAAGAAGUGAACACAUGUACUUAAAUGCAGCUGUAACAAUCGAAUGAAGAAAAAAUGGAUGAUAGCGACUGAUCUUCAACCCUACAAACUAAUUUAGUGCUUCUCUUGUUCCUAACAAGGUUGGGUCCUACUAUGAUAGAAUAAGAACAUCCAUAUCCCCCUCACCCCGCAGGAGAAUAAUUCUAUUUACACAGUAACAGCUGGCAACUGGAUAAGAUAUUUAAAAAGUCUGACAAAGCUAUUUGAUUUUCAGUAAGUAUUCAUUUUGAGAAAAGAGGUCCACAAAUCCAGCUCCAAGCGGCAGUUGGUAUUCCUUCUGGAGUUGCUAAAGAACUAAAUUGAUAUCUGACACCGGUAACCAUUCUUUUGGCUCGUUUGCAAUAAAACUGCAGCAACUUCCUUUAUUUAACAGUUCUAAGCCCCUUUCCCAGUUGCCAAAGGAAAAACUUCCUAUUAUUUAUCUUCAAUUUUAGCAGCUCAUAUAAAUAUCCCAGGCCCAUCAAAUGCUAUGAGUGUAUGUGAUUUUCAUCGAGAAAAUCUCAAACUGCUUGACCAUUGAUCCUUGCUACUAGUGGAGAAUUUUCACAAUAAAAAUUAAUUUAUUUAUGCAAAUCAAAGAGCAUUAAUCAUGAGAGCAUACCUUUAGCUUUCAGAGCUUUUCGCACAUCCUCUAGUAGACUUAGUUUGUACUUCUUCCCAGCAGAUGAGAUAUAUGAUCCAUUGGGCAACUCAAUGGAAAUAUCAACAUCUCCCCAUCUUGUAAAAAGAUUUGACACAAAAGAUCCAAAUGGCUCUACAGUUGCCCCUGGUCACAGACAAGCUGACAAUAGUUAACUUUGUGCUUGUUAACCGAAACAGUAUCUAUGUUUCACCUUUAACAUACGUAGAAGCUGACAAUAGUAAACUUAUUGCUUGUUAACCGAAACAGUAUCUAUGUCUUCAUCUUUAACAUACCAAGAUGACCCAAAGAAGGGUAAUUCCAGAAGAGGAACUUACAACUUCACCAAAUUAGCAUCUAAUUUACAGGAAAAAAUUUCAGAAGACUAAAUAAAGUUGUUCAUCCUAUUAAAAUUAAUCUUAACUUGCAAUUAUGGUCGUCCAAAGGUCUAAAGCUGAGAAGAAUCAUUUCUAACGCCAAAAUCAAAAAGGGUGUCGGGUUGAGCUGUUAAAUUACAAGGAAAACACCGUCCAUUGAGUUGUCAGUACAUAGAAACACCCCCUACAUACCAACCCGCAAUAUUGUACAUCAUGCUUUACCUGAUUUGAAUCAAGAAAAAUUGUCUCUACAAGUAACAAACAAGUAACCUAACCACCUAAGUUCCACUAAUCAGGAUAUAUAACGAAGUAUCAUGAAGUACAAGAGAUACACUUGUUAGUUGGUGCUAUGCGUGUAAAAGCUCAGGGGAAGAAGUUGAUCAUCUUUUGUGGUAUUACCCUGUGUCCUCGGCUUUGUGGAGAGCAGUUCUGAACCUUUUUUGGUGUUCGCCGGGUGAUGCCAAGCACCGUAAAGGAAAUGUUAUAUAGUUGGGCAAGUUUCCAUAGAAGAAGAAAAAAGAAGUGAAACUUCGCCCCAUUAGCUCUCAUGUGGAUAGUUUGGGGGGAGAGAAAUAGGAGAGCUUUUGAUGGGAUUGAGUCUACUUUUUCACAUCUUAAGAAUAGUCUUUUAUCUUUGACCGCUUUUUGGUGCACUCAUAUAGCCCCUAAUUGUAUAGAAGAUUGGACGUCUUUUGUAGGGAAUCAUGUUCUGAUGUAAAUUCUCUACUUUUUGGCAUACUUCCUGUAUAUGGGAGUUCUCUCCCUUUUGAUUAAUACAAUUUACCUUAUCAAAAAAAAUAACGAAGUAUCACGACUUUAAAUUACCUCUAAGGCUUUCUAUGUUUUCAACCAUGGCUCGAAGUUCAUCAAUGAGUUGAAAUCUCAUAGACCAAUCCUCAUCCAACGGAUUGAUAGAGCGAAGUAUAUUCCGAAAAGUAUGCUCCAACAAGCUGUAGCCAUUCAUUUUGAGCACCAGAUACCCACUGAUUCUAGCUUAUUAAAGAUAAUAUAUCAAACUAUUCAAGAAAAGAAUUGACUACCUGCAGAAAGAAGGGAUAAGAACAAGGUUUAUAACUAUUAGUGCAACUAUUUAAGAAAAGAUGAUUAAGUUGAAUUGUGACGAGUAUCGUGACAGGUGAGUCUAACAGGACAGGAAUUCAGACUCAUUUCACACUAAGAAUGAAUUAUCUUUAUGUGCCACGAAACAAAAUUGAAGCUGCUUAAACAUAAAGACAAGCCAGAUAAUCAAAUUCUUGAAUCGUAGAAGGGGGAGAAAAUCACAGUUGAUUCACUGACAAGUUAACUGUUCUGUCCCUUAGAUCUAAAAUGUACGAGAGCAAAAAAGAUUGACACCUACAAGAAACGCUUGCGAGCAGACACCACGUAUAUAUUGCAUCAACAACCAAAGGAUAAAUACCAAAAAAACUGACUGGCAUCCCCAAAUUAUUGAGUUCUAAAAGUGAAUAAAUGCUAAUAUCUAUCUAUUGGAUUGCCAAAGAGGGCAUUAAGAAACAUAUCCACAAGAGAAACGAGUAACUCAAACGCCAAAAUCACAAUCCACUGAUGGUAUACUUAGUGUAAGCAAGCUCUAACAUCACAUCUUUGGAAUAACAUCCAGUUAGAGAAAAGAAGAUCCAAUUAGACAUAAGAUGCCCAUGAGCAUCAAACCCUCCGGGGUUGGCCUGGUGGCAAUUGACUUGAGCCUUGGAGUUUGCUCCCUUUCAAGGUCUCAAGUUCGAAACCCACUGGGUGCAAAUAAUUUCUGAGGGCCAUCGGAUUAGGUAAAACCUGAAUUAACCGUGAUGCACUUGCGGGAAACUACUUGCCGAGGGCCUGUGCACCCCCAGUAUUAGUCGGAACUCUUAGAGACUCGGACACCCGAUGCAAAUCAAAAAAAAAAAAGAAGCAAAGCUUCAAACUUUAUCAACACAACUAGCAAAUGAAAUCCACUGGGUGCAAACAAUUUCUGAGUGUCAUCGGACUGGGUAAAACCUGAAUUAACCGUUGUGCACUUGCGGAAAACUCCAUGCCGAAGGCAUGUUCAUCCCCUUGAUUAGUCGGGGCUCGAAGAGGGUCGGACAUCCUGUUCAAAUUAAAACAAAAAAGAUGCUCAUGACCAUCAUGCAUACGUAAAAGGGAACGAGGAGGCAAGCCCCUCAUCUUCCGCAUAUCUUGCUCAGACAUGGCAUGUAUCACUGAACCUGCACCCCUUCAUCCAAGCACAACUUCAUACUCCAAAUGUCAUCUUUUGUCCAAAGUCCAAAACAAUUCAAUAUCAUCUCACAUGACCAGCUAAACCCACCCAUCCACUAAAGAAAUAUAAAACAAGAAGUUGGACCUUGAUUCAAAUUCAUUGACGUGGUCCACCCUCCCUAUCACGCUUAAUAUGUACAGAAGUGGAAUCGGAUGCAGAGAUAAUGUAAUUAACCAAAGAACUAAAUACACCAAACAUGGUUUUAUACACAAAAUAAUUUAUAGAUUCUCAAAUAUUCACCCUAAGAGGAGCUUAUGGGUUUACAUUACAUGAUCAAGUUCAAUCAACAACUGUUCACUUAAUUUAUCUAAAAACCAUAAUAAGCAUAGAUGUCCUUUUUAGUAUGCAUAUCGGCUUAUCCAUUAAUCCAAUUUUGUAUGUCUUACUCAAGAUCUUAUCCGAUGAGAGAAACACUACCACAACUAAGACAAGCAUUCACGUUUUGAUACAUCUCUACAAGAUAAGUGCAAAAAUCAAAACAAAUUUGGUGGGUAUUGUUAACCUUCCUUGGAUAUUUAAGAACAGUAUUCUAGAAGAAUUACCAGCCCAGGUAAUAAGAACCUCGAGUAUGGCAUUAAAAAAAGUUAAUGUGCCUCUGGAUACAAUUCACACAUAAUCUUUUAGCAAAAGGAAAAGAUGAAGAAAGCUCCAGUAAACCAACAAUAAUGACUUCACAUUUAGGUUUAUGGCCUAGGCCCUAAUUGGCAACCAAAUUACAGACAAACAACACACUAGAACCAAUACAUGCUCAGAAUCAGGAGCGGAAAUAAGUAAAUAGCAUCCGGCAAAAUAAGAGGGGACAAAAACAACAGGAAACGAUACCAUGGGAAUAGCAUCCAGAAGUUCCAAUAGCUCAGAAAACCAAAUCUUUAUAAUCAACAAUUCAGCACCACCACCCAAUUCCGUAUUAUUAAUCAAUGAAAUGGGUCCACUGAAAAAGCAUUCAGAAUGACCCGAAAGGAAAAAGAAACAAAUACCAAUAGCGAUUAAAGUUGAAAAAAGGGGAAAGGCUGUAGUGGAAAGUACUAACCCAAUUGUCAUUGGGUGAUCGUAAAAGGGUCCAUUGGAGACAUUAAUAACAUUUUUCAAGAUUUUAUGACUAUGAGGAGGGGCGGGUUUGCUUAUAGGCAAGGUUUUCUCCAUAACUCGUGUCCUGUCUCUAUCUACUGAGUGUAAAACUAAGGUUGUAUAUUUUACUUACUGCGACAAGAUUUUGGAACGCGGGAAACGCGUGUCUGAGUAUUUCAGGCAUAGAAAUUAGAAUUUGAUUGACGAGGGACAACUAUCAAGUAUGAACUUCUCACAACCAGUGCCAUCCCUAUUUCCAUGUACCUUCGGAUCUUGACCAUUUAUCAACUCUUAUUAUGUUGUGUGCCAAUUGUCUCUCAUCAACCAAAAAAAAUGUUAAUGGCUUUAUUAUGGAUCAAGUCUAUUAGGUUGGAUCCCUACAUGAUAAGUUCAAUAUGUAAAGCAAGGUACAAUAUCCCUACAUGAUAAGUUCAAUAUGCAAAAAUAGCAAGGUACGGUCAGUUUUAGGACUCAUCAUUCAAAAAUAGCUAGCAUUUACCAAAUUAACAAAAAAUAACCACUAUUUUUCUGUAAUAAAGAACGGUCCAGCAUAAUAUACUGAAAUUCGGUGUACUUGUGUAUGAACUCCAGUAUAUUAUGCUGGACCAGUAUACUUUGGUGGGUCCAGUAUAAUAUACUAGAGACUGGAGCAUCGGUGCUCCAUGCUCCCGUAUAUUAUACUAGACCAGUAUACUUGCUGAAACUCUAGUAUAUUGUGCACUUGUGUAUGAACUCCAUCAUAUUGUACUGAAGUUCUAGCAUACUUAUCCUGGAACUCCAGUGUAAUAUGCUGGAGUUCAAGUAUAAUUAUGUUGAAACUUCAGGAUAAUAUACUGAAGUAUUUUUCGGGUUUUGUACGGUGUUCUUGCUCAAAUUUAUCUUUAUAUAAAAAGUGGUUAAAUUUCGAUUACUUUUGCAAUUUGGCUAUUUUUGAACGAUCAGGUGUGAAUCUGGCUAAUUUUGAAUUUCUCCCGUUCAAUCUAGAGGAAUUUUCAUAGACCAUUAUAAUUUAGAGCAUAAUAACAGUAAUUUGCUUAAUUACCAUUCGUAGUUACUAUUUAGUUGUUACUAACGUAUAUUAAUUGUAUUUGUUCGUGCAAUGAAUACAGUAUGUGUCAACUGUAUUCGUUCGCGCAAUGAAUUGUAUCGGCUGUAUUUGUUCGUGCAAUAAAUACAACUAAUGCGAAACAUAGAAAAAUAAAAUGUUCUUAUUACGCAAUGAAUUGUAUUGACUAUAUUUGUUCGUGCAACGAAUACAACUAAGACGAAACAUAGAAAAAUAAAAAGUUUUUGUUAAGCUUCGAACUCAAGACAUUCACUAGCUAGGCGCUUUAACCAACUAAGCUACGGGAGCUUGUUCCUCUAUUGUUUCAGUUCAAAACAAUUAAUCUUUUAUUUCUGGAUUUGUCAUAAAAUUCAAAUAUAGAUACCAAUGGUUUUGCUGAAAGUAUAGCUACGAAUGGUAAAUAUAGUGUAAGUGUUUUAUGUGUCACGUAAUUUUCCCUUCAAUGUAUGGUCUUCAAGCCUAUUUUUUUUAAGGAUUUCUUGAAGGCUACUUUUGUAAUGCCUCAACUGGUCGUUUUGAGUAUUGUAACCCCAUUCCCUAUUUUAUUACGUAUCUUAUGUUAGUUUGUUGUUAUGUGACUUUGUCGGGGGUGGUUGGUUUGGUUCCGGGGAUAUUUCAGAAUGAGUUGAGAUACUUAGUCCCAAGGUUGGACGCCUAAGUUGAAAGAGUUGAUCAGAUAUUGACUUAUGUAUAAACGGCUCUAGAAUGGAGUUUUGAUUGUUCUAAUAGCUCCGUAAGGUAAUUUUGGACUUGCGUGUCUGGAUAUCGAUUUGGAGUUCCGUAGGUGGUUUUGGAUUUUAUUGGCGGAAGAUGGAAAAACUAAAGGUUUGGGGAGUUGAGAAGUUUGACCGAGAGUUGACUUUUUUGAUACCAGACUUGGAUUUUGGUUCCGAAAGUUAGAAAUAGUCUGUUGUGUCAUUUAUGACUUGUGUGUAAAAUUUGAGAUCAAUCGGAGUUGAUUUGAUAGGUUUCGACAUCUAUUGUAGAAGUUGUAAAUCGUGUUUCUGAUGUUAUUUUAUCUGAUUGACGCCUCGGCUAAGUUCGUAUGAUGUUUUUAGGAUGGGUUGGUAUGUUUGGAUAGGGGCCUCGGGUGUGAUUCAAAUUGAAUUUUAGACUUGUGAUGCUGGUGUGUUCAGUUCUUAUGCCACCGCACUUGCGUGAAGUUAGUUGUUGGUGCGAAGCCACAGAAGCGGUCAUAGGGUCACAAGUACAGUCUUGCGUGUGUUGGGCAGUGGUCGCACGUGCGAAGGUAAUUCCGCAUUUGCGAGCCCGCAGAUAUGACGAAGCUCAGCAGAUGAAAAUUUUUUAUCAGAGACCCAAAGGUCGCACAAGUGGAAGGUAUCCGUAGGUGCUCUCCCGUAGGUGCGGAGCUUGGACUGUAGAA